rnacentral:misc_RNA from 1 species
AAGUCGUAACAAGGUAACCGUAGGUGAACCUGCGGUUGGAUCAUUACUGAUUUCUUGGUCUGGGGUGAGCUCUUUGAGAUCCCCCAGUACCAUAAACACUUGUGCACCUUUGUGUAUUUGGGUUGUUUGAUUGGGGAAACCUGAACAGACAGCCCAACUGUGAAAACAAACCUUUAUUUUUUGACUGAAAUUCUAUAUAAAUAGAAACAACUUUUGACAACGGAUCUCUUGGCUCUC